ensembl:lncRNA
CAUAAACGAAAAGAAGAGGGUGAGAAAAAUACAGCUGGAAUCAAAACUAGACCAAAAGUAAAAGCUGACAAGCCUCAAAGUGGUGCAAAGAUCUGCUCAACUGGAAAGAUUUUGAAAAGAGAAAUGCUUUUACCAAACUCUGAAAUGAUAAAAUCUGCUGGAAAGGUUGAACUGGCAACUCCUGUCAUGGAGGAAAAUGAAAAUAUGGAUACCCCCGACACAAAUAAUGCCAUGGCAACAAUCAGUGAUAUCAUGAGUUCAAAUGGCAUUUCAGAAAAUAUAGAGACUCCCAAAAUUGCAGAGAUUGAUAAAAUGUCAAAAACCGCAACUGAUGAAUCAAAAGGAGUUGUUGAAAAUGUGAAUGAAGUAAUGGAGAUUGAACAUGGACCAGUUGUGGAAAAUGAGGCAGAAACAAAAAUGACAGAGACCUCGCUAUUCAAAGUUGAAAAAUUUGAGCGAGAAUUGGCAGCAGAUUUUGAAAAUUCAGAGCUGAGGGAAUCAAAAAUGAGCACAACAGAUUGUUCAGAAAUUGGACCUAUAAACCACUCAACUGUUGUAAAUCCAGAUGAUGUGAAUGAAGCAAUGCCAGGAAAAGAUACUGAAGAGAAUUCCAACAUGGCUGACACAAUUUCCUCUUCAAAAAUCCCCAUUAAUCCUCCCGUUGUGACGCCCAUAGAACAAAAUGUAGCAUCUCCACAAAACGCUGGUGGAGGAGAGUUGAGGCUUGAAACUACUGACAAUGCCACUGAGCCGCCCGCUGUUAGAACUAAAGCAGAAUGCAUGCCAGAUUCAAGUGAAGAAAACGUUCUCGCAAAAAUGGCCGAUGCAUCGAUGGGUAGUAAUAAUGACACCGCAUUUGAAAACAUGAUAGAGCUAAUGAACUGUGAGCAACCAGCUGCCGAUAAAAUUGUGGACAGUACAGAUACGGCAACAAACGAGAAUACCCAAUCUUCUGCUAUCACCUCACAGAUUGAAAAAGUUGAGCUCAAACAGAUCUCAGCCCAAACUACAAAUGAAUCUGCGAACACAGCCAACAGUCCGAAUGAGAAAUCUGCGGAGGGUGAGAAGCGAAAGCUAAAAUUGGGCAACAAAAAUGACAUUUUAUCUGCACUUAAAACUCUGGUCAAAUCCAAAAGGGACAAAAGUGAUCAUGAGGGUAAAGAUAGUCCACCAAAAAGAAAAAACGAACUUGGGAAUGAUUCGGCGUCUAAAAAGUUUAAAUCGGAUGCCCAAACGGAGGAGGUCGGAGCAGCGUCAGUUGAAUCAAGUUCCACGAGUGAAGGGAACAAAGUGGAAACGACAGACUCUGCACCUGCUGCUAAUAAUGCAAAUGAAACACAAAAAGAGAGAGACAAAGUUGUUAAAAUUAGACGGAAAAAUAAAGUGGAUCUCAAAAUGAAAUCCGCUUUGACAAACAAGAAAGUUUUGAAAAGGCAAACCAAACUUAAGAAGACGCCUCAAAAUGCUAUAAAACAUGAUAAACCCUCUAAGAAAAUUAAAAGGGACAAGUCCAAAUCUGAAACUAAAACUGUCAAACCAAAAUCAGUAUCUCGUAAAGUUUUGUCGAAAACACUUUCGAGCUCGAAUGAAAUCAACGGUGAACUUGUGCCUCCCGAAGGAAACUGCGAAGCAAGUAAUAAGCAAGAUGGCAGUGAUACGAAUGUGAAUACAAACACGUAUACUGAUAAAGUUGAACCAAUAACCCCAAAGAAAGUGCAAGACGAGACCUGCUUAAAAGACCACCAUGUAUUUGACUUUGUACCGGUGGAGGAAGAGAGCCCAUUGGCGACGUUUGAAAAAGCUCUGAGCGAAUACAAGAAGAAACCGUACAUGCGUCUUCCAGCCACCGCUUACUUGGAGGAGAGGUUCACCGUUAUGCCCAAGCGGCGAAAAGAUAUGUCCAUGUUCUUUGGAUCGUCGCAGAAAGUCCCCAAGACGCCCGAGGCCACAGCACAGGCCUCCCAGCAACGACAGCGAUGUGCCAACUGCUUCACCACGUUCAGCAGCGACCAGGAGCUGCAGUGGCAUCUCCAGCAGAAGUGCGCCAACCUCUUUGGGUUCGACUCUGAUGACGAGGGCACCAGUUGAAUGUCUUCUGAAAUCUGGAUCCAAAGGAACUUCCUCUUUGCAUGGCGGAUUUAGCCUUCCGGACUGAACUCUUCCUUGGGAUAAUGUUGGUAACUGUGUCUUUAAACUGAAAAAGGCAGAAGAGACUGCUAAAGUUUGAAUUUUCUGCUGCAGUUUUUGAUUUGCAGCCUGAGACAAUAAUGAGCCGCUCUGUGAGAGACUACUGAACAGUGCUGAAGUGCCUGCUCUGGACGUGUGUCUAGCAGCUUCACAGGGAUUCUUCAUGAAGUGUUGUGGCUUUAAAUUGGACUAAAGCUGUGAAACUAGACUCAGACUGCUCCUCGAUCACUGGGAUUUCUAUUUUUGCAUCUGUAAGCCAUAAAAUAAUUCUAUAUUUUUGCUUUUUUGCACUUGUUCAGUUCCUGCUUAUAACAUCUCUA